UACGGAGGGGGCUAGCGUUGUUCGGAAUCACUGGGCGUAAAGCGCACGCAGGCGGAUCGAUAAGUCGGGGGUGAAAGCCCGGGGCUCAACCUCGGAAUUGCCUUCGAUACUGUGGGUCUCGAGUCUGGGAGAGGUGAGUGGAAUUCCUAGUGUAGAGGUGAAAUUCGUAGAUAUUAGGAAGAACGCCAGUAGCGAAGGCAGCUCACUGGUCCGGUUGUGACGCUCAGGUGCGAAAGCGUGGGGAGCAAACAGG
rnacentral:rRNA from 1 species